rnacentral:tRNA from 2 species
GGGCGCUUGGUCUAGGGGUAUGAUUUUCGCUUCGCAUCACGGUCUAACUCCUCUAGAGAGAUAACAUCAUGCGCUUGCUUGUGAAAGGUCGUGGGUUCAAUUCCCACAGUGUCCA